GCAAGUCGAACGCUGAAGCCGACAGCUUGCUGUUGGUGGAUGAGUGGCGAACGGGUGAGUAACACGUGAGUAACCUGCCCCUGAUUUCGGGAUAAGCCUGGGAAACUGGGUCUAAUACCGGAUACGACCUCCUGACGCAUGUUGGGUGGUGGAAAGUUUUUCGAUCGGGGAUGGGCUCGCGGCCUAUCAGCUUGUUGGUGGGGUAAUGGCCUACCAAGGCGACGACGGGUAGCCGGCCUGAGAGGGCGACCGGCCACACUGGGACUGAGACACGGCCCAGACUCCUACGGGAGGCAGCAGUGGGGAAUAUUGCACAAUGGGGGAAACCCUGAUGCAGCGACGCAGCGUGCGGGAUGACGGCCUUCGGGUUGUAAACCGCUUUCAGCAGGGAAGAAGCGAAAGUGACGGUACCUGCAGAAGAAGUACCGGCUAACUACGUGCCAGCAGCCGCGGUAAUACGUAGGGUACGAGCGUUGUCCGGAAUUAUUGGGCGUAAAGAGCUCGUAGGUGGUUGGUCACGUCUGCUGUGGAAACGCAACGCUUAACGUUGCGCGUGCAGUGGGUACGGGCUGACUAGAGUGCAGUAGGGGAGUCUGGAAUUCCUGGUGUAGCGGUGAAAUGCGCAGAUAUCAGGAGGAACACCGGUGGCGAAGGCGGGACUCUGGGCUGUAACUGACACUGAGGAGCGAAAGCAUGGGGAGCGAACAGGAUUAGAUACCCUGGUAGUCCAUGCCGUAAACGUUGGGCACUAGGUGUGGGGGACAUUCCACGUUCUCCGCGCCGUAGCUAACGCAUUAAGUGCCCCGCCUGGGGAGUACGGUCGCAAGGCUAAAACUCAAAGGAAUUGACG
rnacentral:rRNA from 1 species